CACAGCAAGAGAUCUGGGGAUGCUCUUUUUGAUGAAUCACUUUGUGGGGCCUGCCUCUCCCACCUGUCUUUUCCUGGGGCAGAAGGACUGCUAACUGCAGCAAGUGACGUCAGUCGGGGAGGUAAUGGUGCAGCAGCAGAGGGGUGCAAUCAGAUGCUGCUGGGGAGGGAGGAUGUUUGCCUGGCAGUGGCCACCUUUCAUCUGCAGCAUCUUGCAGGGUUUUACGAGAGAUCAUUAAUUAGGCUUCUGAAGGCUUGGGGCAGAAACGGGUAUUGCAGCGGAGCUUACGUAGGUGCCUACGUAAGAAGAAAUGUUCAUGGACCAAUUACUGUGCAUAUGUAGUCACUAUCUCCUUUCACACAAGAUCUCAAAGCAGUUUCCCAAGGCAAGUAGGAGAGCUAAUUGCUUGGUUCCUGGAAGGCCUAGUGCCUAUCUAGAAUAGGAAAUCCUAGCCACAAAUUAUUUCUUCAUGAGUGCCCAGAUUGGCACAUGAGGCCUUGAGCAUGGGGAGGACAACUGUAGGAUCACUGAGUACAUGGCAGCAGUCUCUAGGGUAGCCUGUGAUAGAAUCAUAUGAUGUCAGAACUGAGUGAACAUCAGACACCAUCUAGGGCUUCUGUGUGGGGUACCACAGCAAUGAAGAGCCACUGAGCUCUUGAACAUACAGGUGCGCUUUAAGAUUUAUCACAAGCUUAACACCAUUCCAGACCAGAGUUCGUACAGGAAAGAAUGUAAAAAUUUAUGGAGGCCAUCCCUAAUCUGAAAAACCUGAAAUACAAAACAUUUGGGAAUCCAAAACCUCUCGAUCACCUACAUGAUUGCAAUGAAAACAAGCAAGGAGAACCUGAAAUGUCUGUGAUGUCAUGUUUGGUCAACAAACCACUCAGCUGAUAAAAGCAAGAACACUAGCCCACAAACAAAGAGAUGUCUUCAGUGGAGCAGCUUCCAUGGAUCCGUGUUUUACCCUUCGGCCAUUCACAACCUCACCUUCUGCUGCUGCUCAGGGCCUUCUUAUUUUGUGUUGCAGUGUACUGGAGAUCACAUAUAAGCCAAUGAGCAUCACUGUUGAACAAUAAGAAGAAAAAAGUCUACAACCUCCCAAAUACCAAACCCUAGAAUUUCAGAGAAGCAAGGCUGAGUCAUCCACACAGCAGUGUGGGCAUUUGCCCUGAAAGUGCUGAACCAGCCAAAUUUAUUUGGCAAAUGUGUGCCAAGCUUGCAUGUGUACUUCCAGCAGGUAACAUUUACUGGGAAAGUCUCUCACAUCUACUACCGUGUCAGUCCCUGAGAGUCUAGAAUGCUCAUGGUCACAGAAGCCAUUCUAUGCAACUAGAGGAAAAAACUGCGUGCGCUUGGAGAGCAGGAGCUGGGGCCAUAAAGCAACCUCAUUGCUAAGCAAAGAGGACUAUACUGCUACUGUGGUGGCAGAAUUGGGAGACUAGAAAGAAAAAACAGUCUCUGGCUAGGAUGUUGUAUUCCAAAGCAGUUGCCAGAAGAGCAUACAGUCAGUGAAAUACACUAAAGAGUCUAUAUACUAUGAAAAUGUAUUAUUCUCACUGGUUAAUAAAAAUCUGACAGGCUGGUAGCUAGGCAGGAAGCUAGGUGAGAAAGCCUGAAACAGAAGACUCUGGGAAGGAGGAGGAGGGGGAGGAGUCGGAGGAGGAGGAGUCACCAGGAAUCAGAGGGAGCAGGACAUGCUGGAGGGCAGCUAAAGUCACAAGCCAUGUGGCAGAAUGUAGAUUAAUAGAAUGAGUAAUAAGCCUGAGCUACCAACAGAGCAUUUAUAAUUAAUAUAAGCCUCAGUGACUGCAGAAUGGGAAAACUCUGCCUACAUUCUGGUAUACCAACAUGUGGCUGAAAUUUCCACAUAAAACCUGACAAAGCUUUAAAAAAUAUUCUAGACACACACCAAAAAAAAAAAAUGAAAUCAAACAUGGCUUCUUGGUAGCUGCAUUUUCUUGGGUGGGCUCUGUUUGCUGACAGCAAGCAGAGGCAGCUCCUUUAAGAAAUGGCUUCCGGGACUUCCCAUCUGGAUAAGAGGUGAGUGCCUGGGCUCAGCCUAAAUCCCAUCCCUGGGCACCAGCCAUUCUGGGGAAGACCUGCCCAACUUGGCCCCAGGUUCUGGCCACUGGGCAGGAUC